rnacentral:rRNA from 1 species
UGCACUAUUAGAGCGGCCGAUAUCGGAUUAGCUAGUUGGUGGGGUAACGGCUCACCAAGGCGACGAUCCGUAGCUGGUUUGAGAGGACGACCAGCCACACUGGGACUGAGACACGGCCCAGACCUCUACGGGAGGCAGCAGUGGGGAAUUUUGGACAAUGGGGGAAACCCUGAUCCAGCCAUCCCGCGUGUGCGAUGAAGGGCUUCGGGUUGUAAAGCACUUUUGGCAGGAAAGAAACGUCAUGGGUUAAUACCCCGUGAAACUGACGGUACCUGCAGAUAUAA